rnacentral:lncRNA from 1 species
UAUCUAUCUUCUUAGCAAUGUUUGCAACACGUCAUGCUCUUAUCAACUGAGCUACGAAGGAGCACGUCGACGUCACUAGAAUGAUGACAAGCAAUUUUAAGGGAUUCUAAAGGGAAUCAGAAUUCCAAACUAAUUUCUAUGGCAACACAGUUGUCAAUUUUGUAAACAAUCAUUUUCGAACGUGUGUUGCCAAGAGACAUCUAACCGACGUUCUAUGGAACGUUUUCGGUGCGAAAACAACAACUUUGCUGCUGACAACAAACUUGUUUGAUUUUUGAGACCUGAGAACAAUCGACUGGAAAAUGCCUGGGUGCUUUUCAAGACUGGCGGAGAGAGUGCGUGGACGUCGGCGGCCUACUGCGUCGACAGGUUGUUCAAAUUCAUUUGUGGCUUGUUUUUCUUGUCUUUUUCUGUUUUGCAGGGUUCGUGGUCGUCGACAGGUGGACAGCGACAGCGACUUCGAAGAGGAAACAACUGUCCUGGAUGAGGUCCAGUUGGAUGUGCCAUUGGAUGAUGUGCUAGAUGUUCCACAGCUGCUAGUCCUCCUUGAUGUCCAGAAUGCUGCUAUCAUCCUUGAGGAUGUGCCAGAUGUGCAGACUAUCCUUGAGGUACAAUUUUCUGAAAGUUUGGGGUUUUAUGUUUGAAAAAUAUCCCAGAUAUUCAAGUUGUCUCUUUGACAUGAAACAAAUCUCUUGUCUGCUUUCUGCUUUAGGAGGCCACUGGCAUUUGGCAGUUGAUUCUGAUUAGGUUCAGCCCCCAGUACUGUGGGCCUGUUGUGAUCAGGGUAAGAGACCCCCCCCCCCACACACACACAGUCACAUCACUGUUACAAUGUUUACUGUUUCCAACAUGAAUGUAUUGUAAUGUGCAGAACAAUGCCGGUCCGGUGGUUAAAGCUUGGAGAACUUUCCAGUUCAUCAGCCCCAUCAUCACCUACAUGCGUGGGGGAUCCCAGGUAUGUGUCUUUGUAACAACCUAAUCAUAAUCUAUAUUGUCAGUCAUUUGAUCUUGAUGGAAAUGUGUCACAGUAAUUGCCGAAGUGGUUUUGUUGAUGUUGUCUUGUUGUUUAUCUCAACAGCAGGUGGUGGUGAGGAUGCACCACGUGAGUAGGGUGAGAGGCCUGGAGACUCAACUGGUGUGGGCCAUCUCCAAGGAGACAGCCAGGCUUAGUCCAGAGGGCAUCCCCUACUGUGCCACCAAAGUGCAGUCCAUCACUUGGAUCCAGGUAAGACGUAAAUACUACUGAAACAGUAGUAGAUUAGGCUUUUC